rnacentral:tRNA from 1 species
GGGUCGUUAGCUCAGUUGGUAGAGCAGCUGACUCUUAAUCAGCGGGCCGUAGGUUCGAAUCCUACACGACCCACCA